rnacentral:misc_RNA from 1 species
GAUGAAGAACGUAGCGAAAUGUGAUACUUGGUGUGAAUUGCAGAAUCCCGUGAACCAUCGAGUCUUUGAACGCAAGUUGCGCCCGAAGCCAUCAGGUUGAGGGCACGUCUGCCUGGGCGUCACAUAUCGUUGCCCAAUGCCUAUUGCAGUGCAAUAGGAAUUUCUAGGGCGAAUGAUGGCUUCCCGUGAGCGUUGUUGCCUCGCGGUUGGUUGAAAAUCGAGUCCUUGGUAGGGUGUGCCAUGGUAGAUGGUGGUCGAGUUAGAACGAUACCGAUCAUGUGCAUGCUCCCCAAAAUAUGGCCUCUAUGACCCACACGCGUCUUUUGACGCUCAUGACGAGACCUCAGGUCAGGCGGGGCUACCCGCUGAAUUUAAGCAUAUCAAUAAGCGGAGG